CGGCACGUAGCGCAGCCUGGUAGCGCACCGUCAUGGGGGGUCGGAGGUUCAAAUCCUCUCGUGCCGA
rnacentral:tRNA from 1 species